rnacentral:rRNA from 1 species
UACGGAGGGUGCAAGCGUUGUUCGGAAUUACUGGGCGUAAAGAGCACGUAGGCGGGUUCGUAAGUCGAUUGUGAAAGCCCCGGGCUCAAUCCGGGAAUUGCAGUCGAAACUACGAGUCUUGAAUACCUGAGAGGGUGACGGAAUUCCUGGUGUAGAAGUGAAAUUCGUAGAUAUCAGGAGGAACACCGGAGGCGAAGGCGGUUGCCUGGCAGUGUAUUGACGCUGAGGUGCGAAAGCGUGGGGAGCAAACAGG